GAAUAUUGGACAAUGGGCGAAAGCCUGAUCCAGCCAUGCCGCGUGUGUGAAGAAGGUCUUCGGAUUGUAAAGCACUUUAAGUUGGGAGGAAGGGCAGUAAGCGAAUACCUUGAUGUUUUGACGUUACCGACAGAAUAAGCACCGGCUACCUCUGUGCCAGACGCCGCGGUAAUACAGAGGUUGCAAGCGUUAAGCGUAAUUACUGGUCGUAAAGCGCGCGUAGGUGGUUCGUUAAGUUGUAGUUGAAAUCCCCGGGCUCAACCUGGGAACUGCAUCCAAAACUGGCGAGCUAGAGUAGGGCAGAGGGUGGUGGAAUUUCCUGUGUAGCGGUGAAAUGCGUAGAUAUAGGAAGGAACACCAGUGGCGAAGGCGACCACCUGGGCUCAUACUGACACUGAGGUGCGAAAGCGUGGGGAGCAAACAG
rnacentral:rRNA from 1 species